rnacentral:rRNA from 1 species
GACGAACGCUGGCGGCGUGCUUAACACAUGCAAGUCGAACGGAAAGGCCUGCUUUCCCUUGUGGAUUGCGGGUACUCGAGUGGCGAACGGGUGAGUAACACGUGAGUGAUCUGCCCCCAACUUGGGUAUAAGCCUGGGAAACUGGGUCUAAUUCCCGAUAGGACUGCAGGGUGGUGCCUGUGGUGGAAAACGAUUUUCUAGUGGUUGGGGAUGAGCUCGCGGCCUAUCAGCUUGUUGGUGAGGUAAUGGCCUACCAAGGCGGCGACGGGUAGCCGGCCUGAGAGGGGGGACGGCCACAUUGGGACUGAGAUACGGCCCAGACUCCUACGGGAGGCAGCAGUGGGGAAUAUUGCACAAUGGGCGGAAGCCUGAUGCAGCGACGCCGCGUGGGGGAUGACGGCCUUCGGGUUGUAAACUCCUUUCGACCGCGAGGAAGCCACCUGGUUGGAAGGGUGGUGACGGUAGUGGUAGAAGAAGCACCGGCUAACUACGUG